UACGAGGGGGGCGAGCGUUGUUCGGAAUUAUUGGGCGUAAAGGGUGCGUAGGCGGUUCCGCAAGUCCUGUGUGAAAUCUUCGGGCUCAACUCGAAGUCUGCACGGGAAACUGCGGGGCUUGAGUGUGGGAGAGGUGAGUGGAAUUCCCGGUGUAGCGGUGAAAUGCGUAGAUAUCGGGAGGAGCACCUGUGGCGAAAGCGGCUCACUGGACCAUAACUGACGCUGAUGCACGAAAGCUGGGGGAGCAAACAGG
rnacentral:rRNA from 1 species